AGCCCAGGAGGCUGUGGGAGCCCAGGAGGGCCCCUGGCCAAAUCUCAGAAGUGGGGAGUGGUCAAGGAAGCCUUCCUGGAGGAAGAGUCAUUGAAGGGAUCCCAGUUCUGCAACAGCACCUCCCAUCAACAGCCCUGGGCUACGACGACAGCCACCACUGAUCUCAACCAUGUUGGUGCCUCCGUCAUCAGCUCAUUCCUGUCACUUCAAUAAACGGUGCAUCUGGAGCCUUCUAAGGACCACAGUCACGGGUGGGCUUGGAUCAGGGCAUCCGUGGCAUUCAGCAACCACCACCAGUCCUACCAUCCUUCUAGUUGCUAUUCUCCCAAACUUUACGAACACUGGAGUUAUUGCUCAAGCCAGCAUAUCCAUGCUUCCCUGUACUUUGUCCUGGCUCACUCUGGG